rnacentral:lncRNA from 1 species
UUUUAGACCCAGUAUUUUAAUAGCACAAAUCGAAGAACACACAUUGGGGAUCUAGGAACUGUUGUCUGUAAUUCAAACAAUUGUUUAAUAAGGAAACAAUGGCUAUUUUAAAAAUGGUACAAAAAAAAUCCAGUUCUUUCCUGUUACCAAAGUGAAUCAAUUUUAAAAAGUUUCUAAUGGGAAUAAGGAAUAAGUUUAAGACAAUAUUUGUGGUUUACUAGUAUAUCCUGCAAUAGUUUAUCAAAUGCCAAUUAUUUAUUUUAGCAUUUGCAAUACAAAAGGUUUAGAAAUAUACUUAAAUAUAGUCAGAUAUGUCGGUAACAUGAAAGAAUCUUGAGUAACAGCACAACGGUAACAGGACAGAGUUGGUAACAGAAAGGAUUUUUCUGCUUUAUUUGAAAGUUUAAGAAAAAUACACCAUUUUAAAUUGGUCACAAUUGGAAGAUAACAGCAAACAAUGUCAUUUAUCCUUUGAAACUGUAUUUGCAAGAUGAAAAAUCUGCCUAGGUAAGGAAAAAUUCUAAAAUAAAUUCCUUUCUGUUACUAUCUACUAAACUAGAAUUGCACA